rnacentral:pre_miRNA from 1 species
CUCUGUGUCAUUUUACACAGCGUGGGAAAGUUAAAUUUUCCAACACUGUGUAAAAUGACACAGAG